rnacentral:rRNA from 1 species
AUUGAACGCUGGCGGCAGGCCUAACACAUGCAAGUCGAGCGGAUGAGAGGAGCUUGCUCCUCGAUUCAGCGGCGGACGGGUGAGUAAUGCCUAGGAAUCUGCCUAGUAGUGGGGGACAACGUUUCGAAAGGAACGCUAAUACCGCAUACGUCCUACGGGAGAAAGUGGGGGAUCUUCGGACCUCACGCUAUUAGAUGAGCCUAGGUCGGAUUAGCUAGUUGGUAGGGUAACGGCCUACCAAGGCGGCGAUCCGUAACCGGUCUGAGAGGAUGAUCAGUCACACUGGAACUGAGACACGGUCCAGACUCCUACGGGAGGCAGCAGUGGGGAAUAUUGGACAAUGGGCGAAAGCCUGAUCCAGCCAUGCCGCGUGUGUGAAGAAGGCCCUCGGGUCGUAAAGCACUUUAAGUUGGGAGGAAGGGCUUACAGCGAAUACCUGUGAGUUUUGACGUUACCGACAGAAUAAGCACCGGCUAACUUCGUGCCAGCCGCCGCGGUAA